UGGGGAAUAUUGGACAAUGGGCGAAAGCCUGAUCCAGCCAUGCCGCGUGAGUGAUGAAGGCCUUAGGGUUGUAAAGCUCUUUUGUCCGGGAAGAUAAUGACUGUACCGGAAGAAUAAGCCCCGGCUAACUUCGUGCCAGCAGCCGCGGUAAUACGAAGGGGGCUAGCGUUGCUCGGAAUCACUGGGCGUAAAGCGCACGUAGGCGGACCGUUAAGUCGGAGGUGAAAGCCCAGGGCUCAACCCUGGAAUUGCCUUCGAUACUGACAGUCUCGAGUAUGGAAGAGGUUGGUGGAACUCCGAGUGUAGAGGUGAAAUUCGUAGAUAUUCGGAAGAACACCAGUGGCGAAGGCGGCCAACUGGUCCAUUACUGACGCUGAGGUGCGAAAGCGUGGGGAGCAAA
rnacentral:rRNA from 1 species